ACUGGUCAUUUGGUGUCCAGUGAUGUCGAUCCAGGUACAAAUCCUGUAUUUAAAGACAAACAUUUGUUGUAGAACUUGUUGGUGGACCACUCACUCGUUGGUAUUAGACAUGUACUGUUACCUGAGAAAAAAGCUGUAACUGAAAAGGAGGACGGAUCAGAUAACCCAAAUCAGGAAUCUUCCAGAGUGCAGAUGAUGGAGUUUUGUGAGUGAGGUAUAAGAUCUGUCUCCUGUAAGACCUCUUUUAAGAAUUUAACCCAGGCAGUUGUUUACAACCAAGUUAGAUCUCAAGGAUAGCAAAGGAAUCGUACAACCUGUGAAUUCAGUUUAAUUACUGAGAUCAAGGAUGAUGAAACAUUCAUUAUGAUUAUACAGAGCUACAAAGAGUUAUGUUGAGAAUUCAAAUUAUCAUAAUGAAUUGAGACGAGACAACACCUGGGUGGAAAUUGAGGAAAAAUGCAGAUAAAAGGCGUUUUUAUAUUAACGUUAUGAAUCCAAUGUUUUUAUCAAAUCCUUACAUAGAUAAUAUUUCUCUACGCAUAAUACUAAAAUUAAAAAGGUCAGGUUAAAACAACUUUAAUUAUCCAUCGCGUACGAAAAACAGUGCUUCGCAUGGCUUCGGCUUCGGCGCGCUUCGCUCAAGUGCUCAUCAUGCUUUAAACUUUUGCGAAGCGCCAAAAUGUCAUUGGAUUAAUUGCAUGUAUUUUGAUUCUUAGCGUUACUUCGCUUUAAUCCGUGGGUCUGCGUUUUUAUACAUAGAUACCAUUGAUCCAAUUUACAUUUUUUCGCCGCGCUUCGAAUAAGUUCGCGACAAAACUUUGUUAGUUGUAUUUUAUAUUAUUUAAUGCUAUUGUAUUGAUUUAUAAUUAUUAUUGUAUUUAUAUGAACAAGUUAAGUAUAGCAGCACCGUGCGAGCCUUCGUCUG